AAAGCAAGAAGAGAAUUACGAUUUGAUAUUCAUCAUUGUUGUAAUUAUCGGAGGCCUGGCUCUUCUCCUCGUCAUUGUACUGGCAGUGGUGUGGUGUCAAAGAAGGCACAAGCCUACAGAAAUCAGUGUGACCCCAGUACCUGAGAUGAGCCAUGUUACUGAAUAUAUGUCUGUGAGUAGGAACGCAAAGCAAGAAGAUACAGAGGAAGGUAUUCACUAUGGAUCCAUCUCCUUCCAGCCUAAAGCAACUGGUGGCAACAGCGAUAAUACACUGUCCUCCAAUCAAGCAUCAGGCACUAACCUUGUUUCUUCAAAGGAAGAUGAGUCUGUCAUCUAUGCUGAAACAGCAAAAAAAUAAACAUGAAGAGAGUGGAAAGUAAAGGCUUGGAC